UACGUAGGGGGCAAGCGUUGUCCGGAAUCAUUGGGCGUAAAGGGCGCGUAGGCGGCUUUUCAAGUGACGGGUGAAAUCCCUCGGCUUAACCGAGGAACUGCCUGUCAGACUGGAAGGCUUGAGACCGGGAGAGGUGAGUGGAACUCCGAGUGUAGAGGUGAAAUUCGUAGAUAUUCGGAAGAACACCAGUGGCGAAGGCGGCUCACUGGUCCGGUACUGACGCUGAGGUGCGAAAGCGUGGGGAGCAAACAGG
rnacentral:rRNA from 1 species